rnacentral:ncRNA from 1 species
UAAUGAAACAUGCAAACUUAUUGAAAGGUAAGGACGCAAAGCCAUGGGUCUACAUACUUUUGUAUACGGCUGCCAGGUUGCAAUU